rnacentral:tRNA from 1 species
AGCCUUGUAUUCAUUGGAUGAUAAUAGAAUGCAAUUCUGUCGGAGUAGUUAAGAGAACUACUAAGGCUU